rnacentral:tmRNA from 1 species
GGGGACGUUCUGGAUUCGACAGGGAUAGGUCGUGCUUAAACUGCGAGCCGAGCUGAGUGUCCUCGUAAAAACGCUCAUCGCCAAUAGCUGGCAAAGAAAACAACGAUUUCGCUUUAGCAGCGGCGUAACAACCCUGCUAGCGGUUCCUGCCUUCAUCGCCCAUGUGAAGGAUUAAGGGACUCACUCUAAGUGGGCUACGCCUCAACCCCGCCGUCUGAGGGGACGAGGAAGAGAUCAAUCAGACUAGCCUCACGGAAGCCUGUCAGUUGGCUGAAGUCGAGGCGAAACACGAAUAAACUGACUACGCUCGUAGACGUUUAAGUUGCGUUAUCUCUGGACGCGGGUUCAAUUCCCGCCGUCUCCACCA